UUUUUGUAAUUGUGAACGUGAGUACCAUGGGCCCUUCUGUGAACUUGAUGUAAAUAAAUGUAAAAUCUCACCUUGUCUAGAUGAAGAGAAUUGUGUCUACAGGACUGAUGGAUACAACUGCCUCCGUGCCCCUGGUUAUACAGGCAUCAAUUGUGAAACAAAUCUAGAUGAAUGCCUAUCAGAGCCCUGUCUCCAUGAUGGAGUUUGUAUUGAUGGCAUCAAUCAUUAUACCUGUGACUGCAAGAGUGGGUUUUUUGGAACACACUGUGAAACAAACGCCAAUGAUUGCCUUUCAAAUCCUUGUCUACAUGGAAGGUGCACAGAACUUAUUAAUGAAUAUCCAUGUUCAUGUGAUGCAGAUGGGACUAGCACACAAUGUAAGAUCAAAAUUAAUGACUGCACAUCAAUCCCUUGUAUGAAUGAAGGCUUCUGUCAGAAGUCAGCACAUGGAUUUACUUGCAUUUGCCCACGUGGAUACACUGGUGCAUACUGUGAAAAAAGCAUUAAUAAUUGUGCUGAGCCUGAACUUAAUUCAGUCAUCUGUCUUAAUGGAGGGAUCUGUGUUGAUGGGCCUGGACAUACUUUUGAC